rnacentral:rRNA from 1 species
UACGUAGGGUGCGAGCGUUAAUCGGAAUUACUGGGCGUAAAGCGUGCGCAGGCGGUUUUUUAAGACAGGCGUGAAAUCCCCGGGCUUAACCUGGGAACUGCGCUUGUGACUGGAAGGCUAGAGUACGGCAGAGGGGGGUGGAAUUCCACGUGUAGCAGUGAAAUGCGUAGAGAUGUGGAGGAACACCGAUGGCGAAGGCAGCCCCCUGGGCCGAUACUGACGCUCAUGCACGAAAGCGUGGGGAGCAAACAGGAUUAGAUACCCUGGUAGUCCACGCCCUAAACGAUGUCAACUAGUUGUUGGGUGGGUAAAACCAUUUAGUAACGUAGCUAACGCGUGAAGUUGACCGCCUGGGGAGUACGGCCGCAAGGUUAAA